GAUGAACGCUAGCGGUAGGCUUAAUACAUGCAAGUCGAGGGGCAGCGCGAGUAGCAAUACUUGGCGGCGACCGGCAGACGGGUGCAUAACGCGUACGCAACUUACCUUCAACAGGGGUAUAGCUCAGAGAAAUUUGAAUUAAUCCCCCAUAACAUACAGAGAUGGCAUCAUUUUUGUAUCAAAGUAACAACGGUUGAAGAUGGGCGUGCGUCUGAUUAGAUAGUUGGUGAGGUAACGGCUCACCAAGUCAACGAUCAGUAGCUGAUGUGAGGGCAUGAUCAGCCACACGGGGACUGAGACACGGGCCCGACUCCUACGGGAGGCAGCAGUAGGGAAUAUUGGGCAAUGGACGCAAGUCUGACCCAGCCAUACCGCGUGAAGGACUAAGAUCCUUUGGAUUGUAAACUUCUUUUAUUAGGGAAAAAAAGACUGAUUUCUAUCGGUUCUGAUGGUACCUGAUGAAUAAGCACCGGCUAACUCCGUGCCAGCCGCCGCCGUAA
rnacentral:rRNA from 1 species